CUGGGGAGGCUACCAUGCAGUCGAGCGGAACGAGUUAUCUGAACCUUCGGGGAACGAUAACGGCGUCGAGCGGCGGACGGGUGAGUAAUGCCUAGGAAAUUGCCCUGAUGUGGGGGAUAACCAUUGGAAACGAUGGCUAAUACCGCAUAAUACCUUCGGGUCAAAGAGGGGGACCUUCGGGCCUCUCGCGUCAGGAUAUGCCUAGGUGGGAUUAGCUAGUUGGUGAGGUAAUGGCUCACCAAGGCGACGAUCCCUAGCUGGUCUGAGAGGAUGAUCAGCCACACUGGAACUGAGACACGGUCCAGACUCCUACGGGAGGCAGCAGUGGGGAAUAUUGCACAAUGGGCGCAAGCCUGAUGCAGCCAUGCCGCGUGUGUGAAGAAGGCCUUCGGGUUGUAAAGCACUUUCAGUCGUGAGGAAGGUAGUGUAGUUAAUAGCUGCAUUAUUUGACGUUAGCGACAGAAGAAGCACCGGCUAACUCCGUGCCAGCAGCCGCGGUAAUACGGAGGGUGCGAGCGUUAAUCGGAAUUACUGGGCGUAAAGCGCAUGCAGGUGGUUUGUUAAGUCAGAUGUGAAAGCCCGGGGCUCAACCUCGGAAUAGCAUUUGAAACUGGCAGACUAGAGUACUGUAGAGGGGGGUAGAAUUUCAGGUGUAGCGGUGAAAUGCGUAGAGAUCUGAAGGAAUACCGGUGGCGAAGGCGGCCCCCUGGACAGAUACUGACACUCAGAUGCGAAAGCGUGGGGAGCAAACAGGAUUAGAUACCCUGGUAGUCCACGCCGUAAACGAUGUCUACUUGGAGGUUGUGGCCUUGAGCCGUGGCUUUCGGAGCUAACGCGUUAAGUAGACCGCCUGGGGAGUACGGUCGCAAGAUUAAAACUCAAAUGAAUUGACGGGGGCC
rnacentral:rRNA from 1 species